AAGUCCAAGACGCGGUACCCACGACGUCGUAGCAGAAGGAAGCUGUUUUAUGAAGAAAGCAUUACUAAAGAUGACGAUUUUAUUUAUUGCGCAGACUGUGAAGAAGAGAAAGAGGGAGAGUGUCCGUACCAUCCAUUGUUCCUUAUUCUAGAUAAUCCCGUUGUUCGAGACGGCAGCGAGAAAGAUCGUGCUCGCCUCACAACCCCUG